rnacentral:tRNA from 1 species
CGGCACGUAGCGCAGCCUGGUAGCGCACCGUCAUGGGGUGUCGGAGGUCGGAGGUUCAAAUCCUCUCGUGCCGACCA